CGUCGGCGGAUAGUUAAAAAUACAGUUAAAGACUGAGGAAAACCCUCUUUACUCUGUAUUCACUGAUUAUCUGAGUUCUCGAGGCGGUUUAUUGAAUUCUUGAAGCAGGGGUGAAAUUGUUGAUAUUGGAAGACAUUCGAAAGCGAAAGCAUUAACCGAUCUAGAUCUAACGCUAGGUACUAAAGUAUGGGUAUAAAGAGGAUUAGAGACCUCGUAGUCCAUACCUUAAACAAUGAGUGUUCAACAUCUUUCGGCUGCUGCUUAUGACCACCAAGCCAAAUUAAAUUUCCUCAUGCUUUGCCCUUAGGGGGGUUUCAGUACCGCGAGAGGUUUUGGGUAUUUCUUAUUUGUUGAGAAGCCAAAUUAAACAACCCCAUGCUUUACCAUCAGGGGGUUUUAGUACCGCAAGGGGUUUUGGAUAUUUUCUUAUGUUUGAGAAAUUUUGGUUAAUUAUGUUACCCUAAUGGGAACGGUUCUUAAUAAGUAAGGCAGUUGUCUGAGGUUUAAAGCUAACGCGUGAAACACCGCCUGGGGAAUGUGGCCGCAAGGUUAAACUCAAAGGAAUUGACGGAGGCUUAUACAAGG
rnacentral:rRNA from 1 species